GAUGAACGCUGGCGGCGUGCCUAAUACAUGCAAGUCGAACGCAUCCCGUUAAAUGAAGUGCUUGCACGGAUUUUAACAUUGGAUGAGUGGCGAACUGGUGAGUAACACGUGGGUAACCUGCCCAGAAGCAGGGGAUAACACUUGGAAACAGGUGCUAAUACCGUAUAACAACAAAAACCGCAUGGUUUCUGUUUGAAAGGUGGUUUCGGCUAUCACUUCUGGAUGGACCCGCGGCGUAUUAGCUAGUUGGUGGAGUAAUGGUUCACCAAGGCAAUGAUACGUAGCCGACCUGAGAGGGUAAUCGGCCACAUUGGGACUGAGACACGGCCCAAACUCCUACGGGAGGCAGCAGUAGGGAAUCUUCCACAAUGGACGAAAGUCUGAUGGAGCAACGCCGCGUGAGUGAAGAAGGUUUUCGGAUCGUAAAACUCUGUUGUUGAAGAAGAAUACGUUUGAGAGUAACUGUUCAGACGUUGACGGUAUUCAACCAGAAAGCCACGGCUAACUACGUGCCAGCCGCCGCCGUAA
rnacentral:rRNA from 1 species